rnacentral:rRNA from 1 species
UAGGGAAUCUUCGGCAAUGGGGGCAACCCUGACCGAGCAACGCCGCGUGAGUGAAGAAGGUUUUCGGAUCGUAAAGCUCUGUUGUAAGAGAAGAACGUGUGUGAGAGUGGAAAGUUCACACAGUGACGGUAACUUACCAGAAAGGGACGGCUAACUACGUGCCAGCAGCCGCGGUAAUACGUAGGUCCCGAGCGUUGUCCGGAUUUAUUGGGCGUAAAGCGAGCGCAGGCGGUUUAAUAAGUCUGAAGUUAAAGGCAGUGGCUUAACCAUUGUUCGCUUUGGAAACUGUUAAGCUUGAGUGCAGAAGGGGAGAGUGGAAUUCCAUGUGUAGCGGUGAAAUGCGUAGAUAUAUGGAGGAACACCGGUGGCGAAAGCGGCUCUCUGGUCUGUAACUGACGCUGAGGCUCGAAAGCGUGGGGAGCAAACAGG